rnacentral:rRNA from 1 species
GCCUGCAUGAAGCUGGAAUUGCUAGUAAUCGCGGAUCAGCAUGCCGCGGUGAAUACGUUCCCGGGCCUUGUACACACCGCCCGUCACACCAUGAGAGUCGGGAACACCCGAAGUCCGUAGUCUAACCCGCAAGGGAGGGCGCGGCCGAAGGUGGGUCCGGUAAUUGGGGUGAAGUCGUAACAAGGUAGC